AUAGAGCCCUCUUGGAGAGUUAAACAUGCAUGAAGUAACCUGGCCCUUGAUGGACCUUGAGGUCCAUGGAGGGACUUAUAGCCCAGAGGUAAGAGAUUUCAGGAGAGGAUUCUAUGGAAAGUGUCAUUUUUCUGUGUUUCUCAAAGGUCUUACAAGAGAACUCAAGCCUAAUUGGUGUUGCAGUGUGAUUGGCACUUAAAAGAAAACAAGGCAAGAUGGGGUAGUUAGAUGCUCCUGCCUUGGGGAAAUUCUGGAGGAAUUGCUUUAACUGAAGAGCUCUGUCAGUGUUACCAUCUCUUUUAUCCCCUGCACCUGCCAGGAGCAAAUUCUGAGUGUAGAGCCAGGAGUGGCCCCUGAGCACCACCAGGUGUGGCUCAAGAAAACAAUCAAAAG